UGCCACCGCUGGGACAGUUCACAGAGACCCAUCCAGUAUGAAAUACCAACAACAGCUACCCAGCAAGCUCUGAACUCUCUCACCGUGCAACUUUGGAGAAGUUAUUUAACACCCACUACCUCAGUUUCCCCCUCUGCGAAAUGGGUAGCUGUAAGGCUUCAAGACGUGCAGAGGGUGGGCAAGGUGCUAUAUAAACAGCAGACUGUAAAGCUGAGAAAAAUUCUGUAAGCAAGUAGUUCCUCAAAGAUGCCAGCACUGCAUCUGAUCCUUACGACCUCAUCUCCAGGUGGGAAAACUGAGUCUCGGAAAGGCCAGGACUCUCAGUGUUCAUGAGUUUUUACACUACGUUCUGAAGACCACUCUGGCUGCUUCCUAGAGACUGUAAAGCUGAGAAAAAUUCACCCACCCACACCCCCGCUGCUCCCGCCUAAGCCUAAGAGAACAGGGCAGAUUGCAAAAACCCUGUCCACUCCUACCGGAGGCCAGGAGAGCACAUGACGAUUAUCAGGUAAACCCUCGCCCACAUCUGGUCCACCCUUUUCCUGGCAGCGCUGACUCCAACUGUCUUCCACCAGGUGCUGCCUAGCCCAGCUGACCACGCUGACAUCUGGAACACCCCAGCCCACCUGGACCCCAGGAAGGGAUCAACCCACACCCUCUCCCACAUCACUAAGGGAUUGAGACACUCCGAGGCACC